UUUUCCCCUGAGAGCGGCCUCGGAGAUGGCUGUGACUGUCCUAAGCUGGGAGCUGCAAGGGAGAAUUCCUGUCAUUCCUGGCCUCAACUCUGCAGGGACCGAGGGCGAGACACGCCUGGGCCCAGGUGUGGCGUCUCUGUCCCCAUCUGGUUUUAGGCGUGUUACACCUUCACACGCACUAGGGAUCCAGCUUUCCUGAAGACAUGACCUAUUUACCCCAGACAAAAUAUGACCAAACAGACUCCUGCUUACAAUUUCCGUGGGCAGGUUGGCCACCUGUAGCUCAUCCCUAGCACUGAUCCUAAGUCCCUCAAAUAGAGUUCAUGUGCAUCCCCACGACUGCCAAUCACUUGUACUGUGAGGUACCUGGCUAAGUGUUGAGAUUGCAGAACUGGUGGAGGGCUGGGGGUGGGGACUUGGGGGUGUCCCUGACCGGAGGAGCUCACUUGUCACACUCCUCUCCCAUGUUUAGGGCUGGGCUCCUUCAGGCAAGGGAUAUGCAGAGUUGUGACCUCUAGGUAUUAAGAACGCAGCAUCACAGGGAGAGGCUGUCUAGGGCAGGAUAGUCAUGUACACGCAGUUGCCAGAGUGUAAAGGAAAAAAAAAAGUUUUUUUUUUGUUUUUUAUUUUGUGGAAAACAAAAGCAGAAAAACUAAAACCCCAAACUCCAGAAAAAAUCCUAAAAAAUAUGUUUUUUCUUAAAAAAUACUGUAUGUCUCUACUCCUCUCCCUCCCUCCCAACAGCCCUUCUCGUGUUCUUUCUUUUCUAAGUGCCCUAUCCCCCCCACCCCCAUGACUAUCCAUUGUUUCUUGCUAUUGUACCCCCACUUCCCAAUAUCUACCCAGGAUGCGCACCCCACGUUCUCUUACCUGGCGUCUUACUUUGUUCUCCCUCAAAUUUCAGCAAGCCUCAUACUCGCAGUCUCAUUUCCCCAGCAUGCAAGAACUGUCUCCCACUUCCUUUUCUGGGACUCAGUAAUCUUUUCCCCUUACCACUCCCUCACCCCAGGUCUAUUCUAAGCAGGAGCAUGUCCUCCUGCCAAAUUCCCUCCCUGUUCCCACCCACCCCCCAACCCUUCUUAUCUCGAGAAAUGUCAGAACCUUCCCCUGGGCAGCCUUAGCCAGGAAUAAAACAUUUUUGUCUUCCUC